GACGAACGCUGGCGGCGUGCCUAAUACAUGCAAGUAGAACGCACAGUUUAUACCGUAGCUUGCUACACCAUAGACUGUGAGUUGCGAACGGGUGAGUAACGCGUAGGUAACCUGCCUGGCAGCGGGGGAUAACUAUUGGAAACGAUAGCUAAUACCGCAUAAUAUUAAUUAUUGCAUGAUAAUUAAUUGAGAGGUGCAAUUGCACCACUACCAGAUGGACCUGCGUUGUAUUAGCUAGUAGGUGAGGUAACGGCUCACCUAGGCGACGAUACAUAGCCGACCUGAGAGGGUGAUCGGCCACACUGGGACUGAGACACGGCCCAGACUCCUACGGGAGGCAGCAGUAGGGAAUCUUCGGCAAUGGACGAAAGUCUGACCGAGCAACGCCGCGUGAGUGAAGAAGGUUGUCGGAUCGUAAAGCUCUGUUGUAAGAGAAGAACGGGUGUGAGAGUGGAAAGUUCACACUGUGACGGUAUCUUACCAGAAAGGGACGGCUAACUACGUG
rnacentral:rRNA from 1 species